rnacentral:misc_RNA from 1 species
GGGGAAGUCAGAUAUGAGCUGAAGGAUCAAGCUUAUUGUUAUGUUAUCAUGGACACCCCAAAGGAUAUCUGUUCUUUAGCAACAUGGCUUACAAAGUGGUUAUCUGAAGUUGAGAGUUGUAAGGUAAGGAAGAUGGACACAAUGUAUGAUGCUGCUGUAUUUGCAACAGAAGCAUGUGACAAAGUGCAUGGUUGCCGUGACCAUCAACAUACACCUUGCUUGCAAAGGAAGAUUACAGAAUAUUUUGUAAAUGGUACUG